rnacentral:misc_RNA from 1 species
ACGCAGUGCGGUGGGAACGAAUUUCAAACUUGACAGCGAAGAAAAGCAUUUGCGCUUCUUGCUACGAAGGCUGCUCGUUGACUACGUUUUUUAACGCGAGAGAGAUGGCGUUGUUCCCGCUGCUCUACCGAGACAACUGGGGGCCGUCAGAUUUGGCGCGUCGCUUCUUCAACGACGACUUCGGCCGAGUUUUACUCGACGGUGAGCUGUUUGACCCUCCGUUCUUCCACCAACGGUUCUAUGUCGAACCUUACAACCGAGGCAGCUUGGACUCGACCCGAGCCGUAGCCCAACAGGGCUCGGCAGUCUCCUGCACGCCGGACAAGUUCGCCAUCAACGUUGACACCCGGCACUUCGCUCCGGAAGAGAUCACUGUCAAGACGCAGGACAACUGCAUCGUCAUUCACGGCAAGCACGAAGAGAAGUCUGACGACCGCGGCUGCUACAUAAUGCGCGAGUUCAGCCGACGCUACGUCUUGCCCGAAGACGUCGAGCCUGAGUCGGUCAAGUGUCACCUGAACCCAUCGGGCUACCUGUCCCUGGAAGCUCCUCGUAAAAACGCGCCCAAGAAAGAAGACACGAACAAGCCGAUCCCGAUAGAAAUCAAACACGAAUCCAGCGCGGGCGGUGACAAAAAGUGAGCUUGAUCUAAACGUUCCGAACUCAGAACCGGCGUCGAUUAAACACAGGAUGCAUGCUCCUACCAGUCAAGCAUAACAAUCCGAGCCUUUACCAAAGCAGGAAGAUCGUUGUUUGUGAGCAGGUACUCGCAUUCGAGACCUAACCGACUUGCACUCAA